rnacentral:rRNA from 1 species
UACGGAGGGUGCGAGCGUUGUUCGGAAUUACUGGGCGUAAAGCGCGUGUAGGCGGCUAAGUAAGUCGGUCGUGAAAUCCCACGGCUCAACCGUGGAAGUGCACUCGAAACUGCAUAGCUAGAGUCCUGGAGAGGAAGGUGGAAUGCUUGGUGUAGAGGUGAAAUUCGUAGAUAUCAAGCGGAACACCGGUGGCGAAGGCGGCCUUCUGGACAGUGACUGACGCUGAGACGCGAAAGCGUGGGGAGCAAACAGG